rnacentral:lncRNA from 1 species
CUUGGAAUAGGGCUGAAUCUUCCACAGCUACCUGACAUUCGACAUCCACUUAAACAACUAAACAGAAAAUGGUACUCCACAGCUAUAAAAAAAAAAAAAAAAAAAAAAUAGUGCUCCAAGCAAUUUUCUUCCUCAAGUCAAAUGGUUUCAAGACUCUCCAGCUCAAAAUUACCUACAAAAUAUAAAUGCCAAAAAAGGUAAACUGCAAUGCAUUAGGACAAAACAACCAGUAACCCUUGAGGAAAUGCCUUGUCGAAUUUGUGAAUGGGACACUUCGUGGUGCAGACAGCCAUUGUGAAGCUUUAACCCAAACUGUCGAUGUCCCUUGUCCACCCAGUGAAUAGGAUAAGUAAUGAUUCACACAAAAUCCUGAGAAACACACUUGAAUCACCUGACUCUAUUUAUUUCUGUGGUGCAGAGUGGGGGGUCCUAGAAAGGGGCCUAUGGCAGUGUUCAUAUAAGUAAAUUACUGUUUACUAUGAGAGUGCUUCUGCCACAAUAUGCAAAGUCUUACUCCAGGUGAUUUUGUGGGUUAAUUGACAUGAAAGUCUUAGGACGUCUUUCUCAAUAAAAUGUAUAACCAAUAUCAUCAUGAAUAAGGUAACUAUUAUGAACAAACUAAACACCAAGAAUUCAAAAAUUAAAAGUCUUAUACCUAAUUUGUGUCUCUAAUUUUGCUCAUAAUUGGUAUUGAUAAGAGAUCUUAUCUAAUGAGAUUCUCUAA